CACAGAUACACACACACAUGGACCUAUACCCCUGUUAAAAAUAGAAGUUGUAUUACUUUAUACUUUAAGAUGUGUCUGUGUAGCAUUUAAGUUUGCCAGUCACUAUUAAUAUGGCUAUUUUUCUUUCUGCAUCUCAAAGAACAGACUCCUUAAAGAUUUUCCAAUAUGAUGUGAAAAACCAUGGUUUUUAUCUGAAAGUUCUCUGAGUUGACUUCUUGCGCAUCUGAUGCAGUCUUUCUUCUAGGCUCACCUAGCUAGGUUAAUCGUUUGUUUACUGGUAUCUUUCCUUUUUCCACAAAGGAUUGGCAGGGUUGCAGGGAGGGUAGGUGGUGCUGUAAUAAAAGGUAUCUAAUAUGUUUUCUGUUCUUUUGGGAAUUUGAGAAAGCAGUAAGCCAACUUAUAAAGGAAAGCGUUUUUUGGACAAUCUAAAUGGAAAAGAAUCCUCUGUUGCAGGACCUAGUUGCUACAUUGAUCCUGUAAAUUAGUUCUUCCUCUCUUGGAUGAUAUAGGCUCAUGCAGUUCCUAGCAAAUAUGUCUUCACAUUAGGGUGAGACAGUCCUUCUAUUUCCAGCAGGCAGGACGAAUAGGCCAAGGGGCGACUAGGCAGGAUUUCCCGGGGUUCGGGCUACUGCAGCUUCCUGGACAAAUGAAAAAAUGCAGGUGUCACUCCCCUGCCCCCAGGCCAACCAGGUCACAGGGUAAUUGCCCUGUUGCCUGCUGGGAUAGGCCCACCCUGCCCUUCUCCCUCAAGGUUCAUUUUUCAUUUUGAUUGAGUCAUGAUAGCUUAGUGCCACAAAACGUCUGAGGAUAUGCCUGGUAGGGAAAAGGUCAUAAAGGACUCCAGUGAUCUCCCCUUCCCUAAAAUCCAGGGCUCGGUUUCAUGAGUCAUUUGAAAAGGAUGGACAAUCAGAGCUGGUUGCAGGGUUAUGUCUUUCUCUGCGUAUGGCAGGAGUGAAAUCUCCAUCUUGCUAGCUGAAGAGUUGCCUGGCUGCCUUAUUUCAACUGAGGCAGCACAGCUUGCUUUAGCUUUGAAGUGUGAAAGCCAAAUAAAGGUUGGCAAAGGGAAGGGAUAGAAGCUGCAUAGCCUUCUUGGAGCAUGAAGAGACACAUUCGGCCCUGUGCACUGAAUGCAGAAACUUUUCCCAUCUCUUUACCAAUCCCUCAUCCAUAGCCACCCUUGAGAAUUGUGACUAAAACAGCACAAGCUUGGUUGGUUGCCCCUCACUGGAGCUUUUCUGUGGUGGCUGGUCGUCGGACAUUGUGAACUUUAAUUUGGGAAUGAACCAAGCAGAUGCUCACUCUCCAGCUAUCUGGGUGAGUGUCUUGCUAAUCUAUCCAUGAGAGCGACCAGGGACACACACACACACAACACAGACACAUGAACACACACACACAUGCAAACAUACAAACACAAACAUACACACACACACACAGAUCUGACUUUGAUUUGCCCCGGCGCCCUGAGCAAUGAGUUAGGCUAUUUAUUGUCCUACCCCCUCUAUGUCCUAGGGAAGAUUUUAGAAAUUCUAAUACGGGAGGCUGAGAAAGGAAAAUAUUGGCUUCUACAGUACAAACAUCUCUGUCCUGAAAGAAAAUGUUAAUUUUCCCCUAAAUCAAAUGUUGACAUAUAUCAGCUGCUGCUGAAGAUGUGUCACUAUGGGAGACGUUCUUGCUCCGGAUCAGGGAUAUUGGACUGGACUCUCCUCUGAAACGCUAGCUGCUUUAGAAUCUGAACAGGUUUGGUUAAGAGGUUCUAUGAAUUGUUCCAGUUCGUUUUCAAAAAGCUGAUCUCCGUGGGACCCCGUCCUGAGCAGGGGACAGGGGACAGGGUGCCACUUUGUGGAGCGCACUGUUUUCUGCAGAAGCUGGGCCCCCAAGUUGGCACCUGCAAUGAUUUAGGCACUGCUUAUCUCUGCCAGGGGAUAUAGGAUUUUAAUUGGAGAUGUGGGAGGAGGGGAAAAGGCGAGGGGCACGGAGAAAGGAUGGAAUCCACAGGCAAAGAGAAAUUUCCAGCACUAGAUGUUUUACCCGACCCUUUUCCCUCUGCCCCCAAAACACGCAGUCUAAGUAUUCUUUGUUCAACACCUAUGUUUAAAAAAUUCCAAAUUAAAUUCCCCGAUUAUCUCUCUCUCUCUCUCUCACACACACACUCACACACACACACACACACAUCCUUUUAACUUGUUAAGUUUGAAAGAUGAUGAUAUAUACAACCAGUGUGCUUUGCCAGUCUGCACAGUGAAGGCCAAGAUUAAUGCAGAAGGUUGGUGCAACGUUGCCGCAGAGCAGCGUGAUCAGAAUACAAGAUGGAGCAGAGGGGGAAAGGCCAAGAAAUAUGUCUGUGCUUGGAGUUUACACAAGUCUCCUUAGCAACUUGUCUGAAUUUAUUUUUCCCUUACUGUGUGUGGGUUUCUUCCAAACCCUGAGUGAAAUGAGAGUUGAAUUUCUAACCGACCCCUGUUUCUCUGCUUCGAGGGUGAAACUGUUUCACUUGGUUAGCCAGCCUGUCUCUCUCUUACUGGCUCUUUCUCCCCCCAAACCCUCCCCUGUGUAGGUAGCUCUGAUCCUUUGCAUUGUGACUUUGUGGACUGUUGGUAGCUUUCCAGAAAUUCACAUCUCCAUGGGGGAAUGAGAGAGCCUGUUUCUGAUGGCCACAGCUGUGCAGAUUUCUGCUGCAGCCUUGCAACUUCUAGUGCAUGCUCUUGUGUGUGGCAUACGUGUAAAUGUGCCUGUUUAUACGCCUGUGUGUUGUAAAAUAGGGAGAAACAGCAGAGCUCACUUCCUCUUGACUAUUUCUUUUCUUUUUCUGUCUUGCUCCUCUCCGUUUCUAUCUCUCAUCAUCCCUCAACACACACACACACACAUACACACACACCCAAGGUCCUGUAAUUCUAAUUGGGAGAUGAAUAGAAAGCUAUUAGAAAAAAACCCCUGACUUUUAGAAACCUGGUAUGUUGGAUUUUACAUGACCAGGCUCGCUUCAGGAGAGACUAACCAUAAAUACUGCAGUGGUUUUGCUGAAAAUUGCUUUACCUUGAAAUAACUCUAGGGGAGUAGAGGUGCUGCCUCAUUGGAGCCGAUGUUGAAUAUGAAUUUUAAUAUUCUUCCUUCUUGCACCCUCCCCUUUUAGAGUCAGGGGAAAAAAGAAACCUAGCCAAAAAAUGUUAAGGUUUGAUUUUGGCUCUUUUACAAACAGAUGUUGCUUGUCAUUUUGUUGUUGUUAAGCAGGCACCAGAUUGGACCAAGCAGCAGUGUGCAUGCAUGCAUGUGUGUGUCUGUGUGUGUGCAUGUGUGUGUGUGAAAGGGAGAGAAAGAGGGGAAAGAGGGAGGGUAAGGGAGAGAGAGAGAGGCUUGGGGGAGAGAAAAAGAGAGUUGUGGGGUGGAUAAAGGGCUGGAAGGCAAAAACAGAUUGAUUUUGGGAAAAGUUGAGAGCAAAAAAGUAGGUAAUAUAGGUUAAUACCUUUUUUCUUUCCAAACUUCAAUUUGGCUAAGACUGUAUAAAAUCGUAUUCUAUUUGAUAGUUUGCUGUUUUUCCAAAGUAAGAGGGAAAUGUGGAAAUCAGUAGACGUGGACGUGGAGAGCACUAGGUGAGAAAAGCUGACCUCUUCUAGGCUGAAAGGCAGGGAGAGGGUUGGUAGGCUGUUCCUGUGCUCCUCUCAGCAACUAUACCUGGAGUCUAUACCUGGAGUAGGUCGAAGGUCUUUACCUGGAGUAGGUCGAAGGUCUUUACCUGGAGUAGGUCGAAGGUCUUUCUGUCCCAGUGGAACUUAGUUUCUUGUGUUUGACGGUUGCUUCUUUUUGUAAGUAUCAUCGGGGAGGUUCCAGGCUCUUUUGUACUCUUCCCAGAAUAAGAAUCCCGUUGUCAAACAGUCAAGGUUCUAAGGAAAUACUGACUGUUUGCGUAUUGCACAUCUCUUUGCUUGCAGGAUCCGAGUAAUUUAAUCCUCAAUUCUUUCCCAAGCCACCCUAUACACUCACUUAAUUCGUAGCUUUCUAAUGCAAUUGUGGUAUACUUUCUCAAGAGCAAAACAUAGCUUUGAAUAUCAAAGUGUUAACGUUGGCUGGCAUAGAGGAAGCCUUGUGCAGCGUAUAGUCCAUGUACAUUAAAGAAGUGAAAGAUGUCUAAUUUUCAAAAUAUGUAUCUGACGUUCCAUAUCAGAACAAGUGUCUUCUUUUUUUUUUUUAAUUUUAAUUCUUUUAAAAACCUUCCUGGCUUUAUUAACAGUAUAGCUAGAAAGGAAGUUGUAGGUUGGCAUCAUUGUUUGCAUUUUAGAAAGGAAGGAAAAUUGUCAUCCUGAGCAAACUUAUUGCUUUCAAAAGUGAAAGUAGUCUGCUUAGCCAGCUGCACACGAAGCAACUUGUUACUGGCAGCCUCUUAGGCUUUUGUUUCAUCGAGUAUGUCAAAAGCAAAUUUGCCUCCAAUUUCUCACUCUUAAAUGGUUGAUCUCUGUUAUACAUCUGUUGUAAGUGAACAUUUAGUGGGUUUAAGAUUGUUUUUAAAUUACCGAAAAACAAAAAGCCCACUACUCUGAUAAUCUGAGGCAUCUUUUGUUUUAGCUCAAUCUGUCUUAUUCUAUCAUGCCAUUUUUCACCUCUUUGUUCUUUAGUCCACCUAGCCACACUUUCAUUUUUCAUUUUACAUAAAAUAUUUAUUUUUUUAAUACAGGGGGAUGUGUGGUAGGACGAUUAUAAAUAUCAAUUUCUAAUUUUCCCUGAAAGGAAAAUUUGCCUGAAAGGAGCACUAAAACCAUGGCAUUGCUUUGCCAGUCUCCUCCCUCUCCUGCUUCCUUCUGGUCAGUUUUUCCUGGGUAGAGAAGAAUUAAUUCUACCUAAGCUAGCUGGCUGUGGUGCCAGAAGCCUCUGCAUUGCAUGCUUGAGAGACGCUCCUGCACUGGGGUCCGGUAUCCUGGUGGCAAUAUCGCAGGUGGAUAACGCAUGGGGUGACGCAUGGCACCAGUGAAUUUCUCUUGGAGCAGCAAUCGUUGGAUGUGCCUCUUUUGUUGAGCCCCAUCAGCAGAGAGAAAUAAUGACUCCCGAAUCAUUUCAGAAUCAAAAAGUUAAAACGAUGUCUCAAUGAUGCUACAUCAUGCCAGACACGGGCGAAUGGUUUGAAGAUAUUGGCCUAGCAAGAUGGCAACGGGUUUAAAAAAUUCAUAAGAUUCAUAGGAUUCAUAAGAAGUUACUUUUUUCAGACAUGUCAAACCCCCAAACGAGAGAAGAUACUGAGGCCUGUUGCCACAAACCCGUAGAUCCGAACUUGUGGUGAUAGUCCACACAAGCUUGUGUCUAUAGGUCCAGCUCCUUUGUGGAACAGCCUUUACCAGACAAAACCAGAGUCCAGCUAAGCAAUGAGGAAAGGCUGCCGUCAAUAGACCACAGAGCAGUCCUCAUGGGAAAAUACAAACCGCACCAAACGUGAGUUCGCAUAGAGAUAGGAAGUCAUCAAGCUUGUGAGAAUCUGUCUGCUACUCCAUCAUCGACUGGAGCUAAAGAUAAAGGAAAGACCCCAUUUAAAAUUAAAAGUACAAACAGGGAAAUUUACCACAUUCCCUUAAAAGAAAAAAAUACAGGGUUACAUUUUUAUAUGUUGCUAAAUAAACUACUGGGGACAGACUUUGUGAAAAAGUGUUGAAACAGUCAACUCCAGAAGGAGGGCCACUUUAACAACAUGUGAACUAUGUAAUGUGUAUAAUAAAUACUGUUGCGUGAAUGUUGAACAUAGCUUCUAUAUUAUAUGUUUACCUUUACUUUGCUCAGAAUCCUGUUAUCUAUAUCUUUUCACUGUGUUUUGCCUUAAACAAUUUUCCCUUGUUUAUUGACCCUUCAGAGAUUCCAGUUUUACAGUUUCACAAGGGAAACAUUUGUUUUCCUAAUCCUUUUUUCAAUUCUCGAAGUUUACAUAUUGGUCUACUUUGUAUUCUGUCAACAGAUACCAGAAGGCAUUAGAUUGAGCAGAACAACCACCAUUAUAUAACAUUACCGUAAUUUUCAUGCACAAAUAAUUUCCAGGAGGCCAAUCCCAAGUAUUUCCUCCCUUCCUGUCUACACACUAAUUUCAAAUCAAGGUUCUUGUGUUAGUUUCUCUAUUGUCAGACCCUUUGAUGUGUGAUCUCUUGUGAAUGGCCCAAAUAGGUGACAGCACGAAGAAUAAUUAUAAGACUAACUUGCAAUUUCAUUGCUUAAGAAAUGGUAGCUUUCCAGCCAUUGUGACUGCAUGUUCCCAGGUUGAGGUAGUAGGUUGUAUAGUUUAGAAUUACAUCAAGGGAGAUAACUGUACAGCCUCCUAGCUUUCCUUGGGUCUUGCACAAAGCAACAUGCCAAGAAUGAUCAUGAUUCAUCCGGGCCUUUUUUUCCUAGGAAAGCGUAUGAAAGGUAAGAUUGGGUACUGGCAUUUUAGAAUUCAGGUUUUGUUUAAUUCUUGUACCCAUGUUGUAUUUUCAUGUUCUGUUUCUUUGGAUUUUGUGUUUUACCAAAAACAUGAGACUUUGAGAGAUUCCAUAUAUCAGUUACCCAUUGUCACAAUAAUGCUGCUUAACAAACACAAAACUUUAGUGGCAUACAUCAAUAAAUAUAUAUUUAGUUCAUGAGUCUAUGGAUCAGUGAUUUAGACUGGGCAGUUUUUCUCGUCUUGGUUGGUCUCAUUCAUUCUGGCUGUCAGCUGUCAGAUGGGGUGACUAGGAUGACUGGGGCAACUCAGUUCUAUUUCAUGUUUCACGUCCUCCAACAGGGUAGUUCCAGCACAUUCUCAUGGUUAAAACAGAGGGGAAAGAACAAGAACAAGCCAAAUGGCUUAAAUAUUUUGCAAGCUUCUGCCUGCUUUAUGUUUGCUAAUAUCUUGUUGGUCAAAGGAAGUCAGAUGACCAUGCCUGGAGCCAGAGAGGAAGAUGCUACAAAGUUUCUGGGCAAAGGGCAUGAAUCAGGAAAGCAAGACAAAUCGGGGCCGUUUUCGCAAUCACAUUGAACUUUCUUGGGUUUCAUCAAGUUGAAAGUAAUGUGUACCCUCCAUCCUCAGAAGCUCCCAAGAUCAAGAACCAUGUUUGUGAAUUCAUACUUUGGAAUUUAGGAUAAGCUGAUCUUUGUCUGAAUGCUAUUUAUGUCCCUGUUAACAAGAUAUACUCCAACCAACUUUUGUGGAAAAAUCGCCAAGAGACUGGAAUGGUAGUAAUGUGGGGAUUGAUUAUAUCAGAUUAUAAGGCUCAGUCAUUUCAUGGUGAUAGCCAAUGUCAUGAAUGAUAGACAUUUUGCCUGACUUAGACUGAACUCACACAAUCUACACAGAGCAUAUGAGCAGCAAACCAGCAUUAGAAUACAAAUCUGUUGGCUAGAAUGGGGUUGCUCCGAGCCCAGACACUUUUUCAAUAGAAAAUACAGACAGGUAGUCAGAAGGUACUUAAUGAAAUUAUUUAAUCCACUACAUUAUUUUUCUGGCAUUUUAAUAUACAACAUAGGUAAAAAAGAAUGGUUUUGCAGCCUUUCUUUCUGAGCUACCUUAAAAAAAAAAGACGAGAUCGCUGUGUCAUCAUUUUGAUUCCAUGCUCAAACAUUUUCAUGGUGCAUCAUAGUGAUUGUUACCUUACUAGGAAGUCAAGGAUGACUAGCCCCAGGUUGAUGAUGAAGCACAGCUAAAGGUUCAGUGUUUUAGGCCAUCCUGAAAGUUUACAGCAGAACUAGAAGCAAAGGUCUAAGGCUCCUGUAUGGUCUUCAUUUCUUGGCUUGUUCAUUUAUCCUUUAGAAGGGCCUGUGGCCUUGCUCUAGAAGACACUGUCAUUACUUUGUCACAUUUAUUAUGAGUUUGACAUGAAACACAGUUAUUACCUGUAUCUGUGUUGGAUAAGAGUUUGUGUAUUAAACAUCUGUAGCCACUUGACAUAUAAGGACCUACUUAGUACUGUUUAUACAUUUAUAUAGCUUUUUUAAAAAAAUUGAGUUAUCUUCUUGUACAAGACAAUAAAAUCCUCUCCUUUUCAGUAGCAUAAACUUAAGUGGUUUCAUGCAGCCAUGGUCCCUAAAGGUAAAGUAGUGUUUUGGGGUCCUGCUUCUGAAGACAAAGUAAGUUUCACAUAAUUGAGUGUCUACUGACUUGGUAGUCAGGUUGCAUCUGCUAGAGUUUAAACAGUGCCCUGUUUGCUUUCUGAAUGGCUAUGGUGUUUGGGAGGUCAUACUGUUGUGUUUUUCAGCCAAUAGCUCAUGGUAAGACAAAGAGUUUGGGAACUGCAAGGAAAAUAAAUUAUGUUGGAGGCCACUUUAGACACAUCUUAGUGUCAGUUUCAGCAGUAGUGGAUGGGUAAAGUAUUAUUCAAAAUGUUUCGCUUCUUAUGUCCAUCUUUGGUGAGUAUGAGCUCUGUUUCCUCAGGGAAACUCUUCACUGAAUUUUAUAUCUGACAAUCAUUCUUAGUCCCAGAGAUCCAAAAUACGCCGUUAAUACAAAUCACCACAGUAUCUUCUGGAAUUAAUCUUAGGAUUUAAAAAGAAAGAAAAAGAGUUGCAGAAUGCUGCAUUUUUUAAUAUCAUCAAGAAAUUAUAAUAUCUUUAUGGGUGAUGUAAAUGUUAUUUUAAUUUUCCAGAAUCUGGUAAUUUAAUCCAGCUAUUUUCCAGCACAUUGAUAAGCUUCAAAACCUAAAUGUGUCGCUGGCAUCUUGACCUUCUUCAUCAAUCACGGAAUGUUUUGCUGAUGCAAUUUAAGGAGACUCUGGCUAGUCAGAAUAGCGAGUCUACAAACUUUCUGGAAGACAGGUCAUUUGUACUUCUUUAUUUGCAUGCAUCAGACUCUUUUUGACUUGGUUUAUCAGUAUGACUAGUUAGAGACAUUUAACUAGUAUGUGAUAACGCAGUCAGUCUUCUUGUACUGGGUAAGUAUGCACUUCCAAAAACAUUCUUAUAACGGCAAACACUAGCCUCUUCAAAGUUGGCUUUGGCUCAUUAUCUUCUCUGACCUUUCUGAAGACCCACGGAGAAAUGAGUAAACCAAGCUUUUCUUACCUAUACCAAUAUAUAUUUUCUAAAUACUUAGUGCAAGCUUUGACUGCAAAUAGAAUAACACCUUACAUCAUUACUCUUCUUGUACCACUGUACUAUUUUCCCCUUAUCUCUUGCCCUCCAAAUUCUAACCCCACCAAAAUACUUGUUUUUCUGUUCUGAGUAAGGCCAAUCUCUGGUGGUCUUUAAUAGCCUAUUUUUCUAACAGUUAUACGUCCAAGUUCUAUUGAAAGCAUCUUUUAAAUAGUGUAUAUCAAACUUUAAUUGAUAUGAAUCUACAGGGAUCUUGUUAAAAUGCAGAUUCUGAUUCAGUGGGUCUGGAUGGGGCCUGAAAUUCUGCAUUUCUAACCAACUCUUAAGUGAGGCUGAUGUGGUAUAUGGAACACACUCUUAGGUAGUAAGGUUUUGCAUAAUCAAAUUCUUCUAAAUUCCAGGAUGUCCAGGCAUUUAAGCUGAGGGCAAGAAUUUGGCGACAGUUUCCCAUCUUUAGAUAAAAUCCUUCCUUUAGUUGUAGUCACACAGCUUAUCUUCUUAAAAUAUCUUAGUUCCUUUUCACUAAUACACUAAUACAUAAGACUCAGCACUAUGAAAGUUACAUUUUAGAAAUAGGGACAUUGUGACAUUGAAUAUAGUCCUAAAGAUCUUCAUAUCAUAGUAAUCAUUCACUCAAUAGAAGCAUCUUUGAAUAGCACAUGUAAAGAGAAUUCAACUGGGGACAUGAAUGCAAGUACCAAACCUGGUUCUGCAGUACUCAAAUCACUUAAACUUUCUGAAAAUCAGUGUCCAAAUAUGUAAAUCCAUGGGCUAGAACUGGAUAAUAGCUGAGGUAUUUUUAAUAUAGAAUAUUCUAGAAUUCUGGGAUUGUCAUUCAGGAAUCUUAGUGUCUAGGAGUUUUCUUCUUAGCCUCCAUAUCCUCCCGUCUUAUAACAUGAAAGAGGAUAUUCCCAAUUCUAUCUCUGGACUUCAAAAGAACAUGAGCAGAAUGGCUGUCUGAAGGUACAUGCUAAAAGUUCCAGUAAUUCACUCCCAGCCCCCUCUGUGUCAAGUGAAGACAUCUCUCAUUGUCACUUCCCACAAUAAAUUCAAUAUGGAAUGUAGCAUAUAUUCCUUAUCCAGCAGUCUUAUGCUUUAAGUGAGUAUCGCCUUCAUGAAUAUAAUUCAUUUUAUUAGCUUAGUUUAGUGUCUCAUCACACAUUCUACGUAUGAUUUAUCUUUUAUCUCAGUUACUUUCAUAGCUCAUGCUUUGAAACUGCCCUAAAACUUAGAUUCCUGCUGAGGGCUGUGUUUGUCGUUGAGGAUGCAUUUGUGUUGACUGUGUCCUCCAAAGUUUAGCUCAAUGGUCCCUUUCUCUCCUUCUGUUUCCCUUUCACUUCCCUCAGGUAGCUCUUUCUUUUGUGCUCACAUAAUACUUAGUUCAAACAACUAUCUUAUCAGAUUAUAUGAGUAUUAUAAAUAUUUAUUUUACUGAUAGUUUUGUGAAUUCCUUGAUGGGAUGGACACUAUUUUAAUUAAUCAUCCUUUUAUUCUCAGGCUGAUACAUAAUAGUUGCUUAAGUGUUGGUUCAUUUGAACCAAAUUUUCUUUCAGUAAACAAUUUUUGACAGGCCCAUGAUCUAGGAAACGUCAAACUCAGUAACAUUUGUACCUUACGUUUAAGUUUUGUAUUAUAUUCUGUAGCAUCUCUAGAAUUUUUUCCUUUCAUUCUGCUAUUGUUUCAGUGAACAAGACUGAAUCUGAAAUAGGUUGAAAAGUUUCCUUAGAGUGUUGUGAGUUCCCAGAAAUGAAAGUAUUCAUUAAACUACAGAAACAGAGAUUAAGCUCCAAAGAGAAAUAUUUUAAUGCUUAUCAGAACAGAAUUGACUAAAUUUGAUUACUUAAUUUUUAUUUCAGAGUAAUCACAUGGAAUUUUCCUGCAAUGGAACAAAACUUAUUGAAAUACUUGGCAGACCAGGAGUGGAAGCAGAGGAAACAAAUGGUAGGAGAUACAGCUUUUUUGUGGUCUGAGCAUCAAACUUGAGAGGAGGACAUUGCUGAGACUUAACAUUAAUUAAUAAUGUUUAUUCAUGUAAACCUGCAUCAAAUGGUAUUCUACAUGGAGGUAAG